rnacentral:lncRNA from 1 species
AGAUGAGGUCCCUGGAGAUAUUUUACAAUACAGGACAUUUCACAACAGCUUAUUGCUUUUCUCAUCAGCUUCUAAGUCUGCUUAUAAAUUCCGCAUGGGCUCCUCUGGUCCCACAGGAUAGCUUUUUUUUAAUACUAAAAAAAAAAUCCACUUGAUAAACACGACUUCAUCCAUUUACCAUUCCUAUUAUCCAGUAUGCAGGAAAGGUCAUGGAAAGGCAGUUUAAUUAUUGCGUAUGCAGCGAUGCACCCAGCCCACAUUCCCAACAAACGGAUGGAUUUUGGUUCAGUCUAAAGGGGACUCCUGAGCCCAAGGAAUUUCAGGUCUCAGGAAGCAGUUGGUAAUAAUUUCAUAGGUGGUGGUGAAUUGGGCCCUGAAAUUACACUGGGAAUAUGGCCAGUUUUACAGCACUUCAAGAAGAAGAAGAAGAAGAAGAAGAGAGGAAGAUGAGGAAGAAGAAGAGGAAGAAAAAGACACAAUCUCUUAAAGCAACUACUGUGUGCAGAACACUGGAUGUGAAGAACAUCUUAGGAGGUUUCUUUUCUGGCACGGGAAAAGGUAGGCUAAUCAUAAGGGCAUAGGGUCUUAUUUAUGGGACACCUGAUUAUGAGUUCUUCCAGAAU